rnacentral:tRNA from 1 species
UCGCGGCUGGAUCACUCCUUUCUAAGGAGUCUUUGACUCUAAAGAAAAUCUAGAGCCAAGGGCCACCUCUUCAAUACAUACUUACAUCAAUGUCAUGCAUCGUGAGGGUUCAGACGGCGAAUCUCCGUCGGGAGAUGUCGACCGAGAGCACGGGCCCUGGUCGCUUCAGACUCAGCUGGGCCUGUAGCUCAGUUGGUUAGAGCACGCGCUUGAUAAGCGCGGGGUGGAUAGUUCAACUCUAUCCAGGCACACCAUCUGAGUCCUGAUCUGCCGGGCGCAUCCCGCACGCAAGCCGGCCCAGA